AGUCGACGAGAGGACAUGGGAAGCUUGCUUCCUAUGAAAUCGAGUGGCAAACGGGUGAGUAACGCGUAAACAACCUGCCCUUCGGAUGGGGAUAACAGCCGGAAACGGCUGCUAAUACCGAAUACGAUCUUUUCGUCGCAUGACGGAAAGAAGAAAGGAUGGCCUCUAUACAAAGCUAUCGCCGAAGGAGGGGUUUGCGUCUGAUUAGCUGGUUGGAGGGGUGACGGCCCAACAAGGCGAUGAUCAGUAGCCGGUCUGAGAGGAUGAACGGCCACAUUGGGACUGAGACACGGCCCAGACUCCUACGGGAGGCAGCAGUGGGGAAUCUUCCGCAAUGGACGAAAGUCUGACGGAGCAACGCCGCGUGAGUGAAGAAGGUCUUCGGAUUGUAAAGCUCUGUUAUACGGGACGAAAAAGACGGAUGCCAACAGUAUCCGUCCGUGACGGUACCGUAAGAGAAAGCCACGGCUAACUACGUGCCAGCAGCCGCGGUAAUACGUAGGUGGCAAGCGUUGUCCGGAAUUAUUGGGCGUAAAGGGCGCGCAGGCGGUUCGGUAAGUCUGUCUUAAAAGUGCGGGGCUUAACCCCGUGAGGGGACGGAAACUGUCGAACUUGAGUGUCGGAGAGGAAAGCGGAAUUCCUAGUGUAGCGGUGAAAUGCGUAGAUAUUAGGAGGAACACCGGUGGCGAAAGCGGCUUUCUGGACGACAACUGACGCUGAGGCGCGAAAGC
rnacentral:rRNA from 1 species